GAUGAACGCUGGCGGCGUGCCUAAUACAUGCAAGUCGAGCGAACGGACGAGAAGCUUGCUUCUCUGAUGUUAGCGGCGGACGGGUGAGUAACACGUGGAUAACCUACCUAUAAGACUGGGAUAACUUCGGGAAACCGGAGCUAAUACCGGAUAAUAUUUUGAACCGCAUGGUUCAAAAGUGAAAGACGGUCUUGCUGUCACUUAUAGAUGGAUCCGCGGUGCAUUAGCUAGUUGGUAAGGUAACGGCUUACCAAGGCAACGAUGCAUAGCCGACCUGAGAGGGUGAUCGGCCACACGGGAACUGAGACACGGUCCAGACUCCUACGGGAGGCAGCAGUAGGGAAUCUUCCGCAAUGGGCGAAAGCCUGACGGAGCAACGCCGCGUGAGUGAUGAAGGUCUUCGGAUCGUAAAACUCUGUUAUUAGGGAAGAACAUAUGUGUAAGUAACUGUGCACAUCUUGACGGUACCUAAUCAGAAAGCCACGGCUAACUACGUG
rnacentral:rRNA from 1 species